rnacentral:lncRNA from 1 species
UUCUUUGGACAUAGAGCAUUUUCCUAGCCACACCACUAAUUUUUAGCCUAUUUUUGUCUUUUAUAUAAAUUUUUUAUUAUUAUUUAUUAUUACUGCUUUAUUGAUUUAUUUAUUUUUCUUUUUUUUAUUUCCUUUAGUUUUUUUAUAAUUCUUUUACCUCUUGCAUUGAUAGUGUGCCUCUCUUUUUUAUUAUUUCUUUUACCUUUUUUAUUGCUUUAUUUUUUAGUUUAUUUUAUUGUAUUUUUAGUUGAUGCAUAAUUGUUAAUCC